CCUACGGGUGGCUGCAGUGGGGAAUAUUGGACAAUGGGCGAAAGCCUGAUCCAGCCAUGCCGCGUGUGUGAAGAAGGCCUUCGGGUUGUAAAGCACUUUCAGUGGGGAAGAAAGCCUUGGGGCUAAUACCCUCGAGGAAGGACAUCACCCACAGAAGAAGCACCGGCUAACUCCGUGCCAGCAGCCGCGGUAAUACGGAGGGUGCGAGCGUUAAUCGGAAUUACUGGGCGUAAAGCGCGCGUAGGCGGUCUGAUAAGCCGGUUGUGAAAGCCCCGGGCUCAACCUGGGAACGGCAGCCGGAACUGUCAGGCUAGAGUGCAGGAGAGGAAGGUAGAAUUCCCGGUGUAGCGGUGGAAUGCGUAGAGAUCGGGAGGAAUACCAGUGGCGAAGGCGGCCUUCUGGACUGACACUGACGCUGAGGUGCGAAAGCGUGGGUAGCAAACAGGAUUAGAUACCCGAGUAGUC
rnacentral:rRNA from 1 species